rnacentral:lncRNA from 1 species
CGGCGCGCAGGGAGGCGGUGAGCGUGUGCAGAGCUGCCCGAACGGAGGACUAUGUAUGUGUGUGCGCGUGUUUGCGUGUGUUUGAGCGUGUUUUUCCUUCUUCCCUUGAGGAUGUGAAUUGUUUAGCAGCUGGCUGCUCCCUUAGGAUCCUUGACUUUGGGGAGCUCUGGCUGUGAACACAGCCCACCCAUAUAAUCCAUUUUGCACGGUCCGUUAUAUCAGAAAAAAAAAGCGCAACUGGACGGGGGUGGGGCAGACCAACGAAACCUAGACAGACACACACACACUCAGAGGAGAGAGGAAGAAUUGAAAGACUUGAGAAGACUUUGAUAACCUCCCUGCUGGCCCUUCUGUGUUCCGGAAAGAUCCUGGAUGUUGGCUACCUUUUCAAGUCAUCUUGGCAUGUCUCUAGUGUUUUGUAAGCC